CCAUCGCCCUCAUGUCUUCUUCUGGUCGGGCCCCCACUCCCCCUGCCGCCAUUUCCACUCAUUACGCCUGUUCCGUAUGUAAUAGGAAGUUCCCAUGCGGUCAGUCUUCCUCUCUCUGCGUGCAGUGCCUUCCCCCCAGGCCCACCCAGUCCGCCCCUGCGGCCCCCUCUUUGUCGGUCCUUCCGGAAUGGGCUGCUACCCUGUCCCAGGCCAUAGGUAACCUUGCCAGCCUCUCCCAAUCCCUAGCGCAGUCCCUGGACCGUCUGCCCGCUCAGAUUGCGGCCGCCUCGGGCAGGGACCCCCCCGCCGGGGAUACGCUUGGCGACUGUCCCCAGCCU